GCUGCGGUAGCUCAGUGGUAGAGCACUCCCUUGGUAAGGGAGAGGUCGAGAGUUCAAUCCUCUCGCAGCACCA
rnacentral:tRNA from 1 species